AAACCCCAAAUCGACAUGGAGGGUUUGAUUUUCUCGCUUCCUCCUCUAAUUGUUGGUAAAAUUAUGUCGCUUUUUUUGUUCUUUGUUCGCAUUUUUCUUUUAUGUUGGAACAAUCGAAGCUCCUCCGGUCCACAUGUAAUCUGUGAUCAUAAUCAUUACUCUAAACCUACAGCUAAUGUCUUAUUCGCUUCAAGGUUCUCUUCCCGAUUCUUCUCCGAUAAAGAUGAAUCAGUUAAGGAGUUGAAAUUCACUGAGAUAUGGGAGAGGUUUAAGCAAGAUUGCCUAGAGAAAGAUAACUGACUUUUAUAUCCAAGUGAAGCUUUGGUUUUAGCUUCUUGGCUGGAGGAAGAAAAGGAAGCAGGAAAAGGCAAAAUAGGUUCUUUCUGGCAUAUGAUCUUUACUAAACCGGAGGUGGUUUCAUGUAAUGUAAGUAUACAUCUAUAGUUGUUGACAAAUAAAAAACUCCUGAAACAUUCGUAGUAUAUAUCACUUAAACUACUAAAAUGAGUGUUUUUUGUAGAUGAUUUCAUUUCUUAAGAAUCCGAUAGACAAAUGCUUUUUGUCAGGUAGAUAAUGUGUAUUUUUUAUUAUUAUUUAUAUAUGAAUGAUUAAUUGCUGAGUUUAGGCAACAAGAUCAGCUUAAGGGAGCAAAAGUGCAUGAGAGCAAAUACACAACCCUUCCCAACGUACUAAAAUUUGCGCUUGGAAUGGAAAGGACAUCAUCUUCAAGCAAACUAAAUAUUUGUUUCCAUAUAAUAUAAUACUGUCUCUUAGUGCGAAAUUGAUGGAAUGAAAAAGAUUUUCAUUAUUCUUGCAUUUUCCCCAAAAUUGAAUCGAAAGGUAUUCAUGAAUUUGUUAAUUAUAUUCCUAAUGCAACUAUAUAUUUUAUAUUAAUUUUAAUUGUGGAGUGAAUAAAACAAUUUGUAGCUUACCAACAUACUAUGCAUAUGUCAGCUUUCAAGGUCAUAUUUCUUCUUUUUUUAACUCUUCAAUUUUUUUUUCUUUUUUAUUUAUUUUAAUUUUUCUUAAAUUUUAUAUACUAUUUUCUAACAAUAUUAUAAAGAAUUGAUUGAACAUUGUAAUCUCAUGUUUGUAUAAUUUCAGAAAGAUAACUUCCAACUACAACAGCCACACCAGAAGAUUGGAUUAAACGGAUACAGUUGCUAUUUGGGCAAAAUCGGGAAAAAAAAUUCGGCUAAGUUUCAGAUAUAUCCUUCUCAAAUAAUGCAUGCUCAAUGUAGAUACUACUAGAACAAAUUACUCUACCUCUACUACUUUUUUAUCGUAUAACAGUGGAGAUUAAACAGCUCCAAGGGCAAGAUGGUCAUUACAACAGUUUUUGGAUACGGACAACCAUUGAAACAUAUAGUCGAAGGGAAAUCAUGCAUCAGUGCUCAGAUUACACACAUAUAUAUUGGCUCUGAAAUUAUAUUAAUGCAAAAAAUAGCAACAUACUUAUAUUUAUUUGUGUUCUAUGUCUUUCUAUUACGACAUUGUAUUGUUUAUUGUAGGGGCAAUUUGGUAUAAUGGGAUGCAUCAAGAAAUAGAUGUAGUUUAUGCUACA